AAUCCCCGUUUACAGUACGCUCAAUUUUUGAUACGGCACGGAUAAAAUUGGUACCCGUGCCACUUAUUCGGUUCUUGGACUACCUAUUUAGUUAGUCCAAGAACCAAAAAAGUGGUACGGUACAAAAAUCGAGCGUAGUGCAAACGGGGCUUAUUUUUUGCUAGGUUUUUGAAACCAAAAAAAGUGGUACGGGUACCAAUUUUAUCCGUGCCGUACCAAAAAUUAAGCGUAGUGUAAACGGGGCUU